rnacentral:rRNA from 1 species
AACGAACGCUGGCGGCAGGCUUAACACAUGCAAGUCGAGCGCCCCGCAAGGGGAGCGGCAGACGGGUGAGUAACGCGUGGGAAUCUACCCAUCUCUACGGAAUAACGCAUGGAAACGUGUGCUAAUACCGUAUACGUCCUUCGGGAGAAAGAUUUAUCGGAGAUGGAUGAGCCAGCGUUGGAUUAGCUAGUUGGUGGGGUAAAGGCCUACCAAGGCGACGAUCCAUAGCUGGUCUGAGAGGAUGAUCAGCCAAACUGGGACUGAGACACGGCCCAGACUCCUACGGGAGGCAGCAGUGGGGAAUAUUGGACAAUGGGCGCAAGCCUGAUCCAGCCAUGCCGCGUGAGUGAUGAAGGCCCUAGGGUUGUACAGCUCUUUCACCGGUGAAGAUAAUGACGGUAACCGGAGAAGGAGCCCCGGCUAACUUCGUGCCAGCCGCCGCCGUAAAAC